CCGCUCCCGCGGGGCCGGCCGCCCGCCUGCCCUGCUCGAUGACUUCCGGCCUCCCCCCAAUCCCGCUCCCCCUCCAUCCCACCGGCCCUCUCCCCGCUGGCUCCUCCCCGCCGCGCAUCAGGCCACUGGAAGGGGUGGGGAGCCGUGGUCCCGGAUGGUUUCAGCCGGAGCUGCGUGUUGGGGACCUUUCUUUUAAAAAUAGCGGAGCGUGUUUUUUAUUAAAAGUACAGCUAGUUGAUGCAGCAACUCCGAGUUGCAAUAACAGAUACAGUGUUCGAUUUAAAAAAUAUGUUUUUCCUGUUUCCUGUGCCUUAUCCUAUAUUUACUAUAUUGGAGAAACAAAAAAAUGAAUAUAACAAGAUCCAUGUCCUCAAGGCGGUUAAACCCCACAUCCUAACGUUCAUAAAGCCGUUCCACCGGGAGUUGUUGCUUGCUAUCUACCCGCAAACCCUAUGCGAAGAGGCGUGGGAUUUGCAGCCAGAAUACAGAACUCUUCUAAAAUCUAGUGUUGGGACAGAGAUGGAGAUACAUCAUGAUAGUCAGAAUAAAACAAAUGGUAGGUAGAGUCAAAAGCAAUUUGAUGGAGACUGUAAGGGGAUGGAGUGACAAAAAGAACUGGUCUUUGAGAAAGAGGAAUCCACAGGACUAGGUGGUGAUUGGUUUUAGAGAGGAGAGAGGUACCAUCCUGGACGAUUUUCACAUGGCCCCUAAGAGGAGGAUGGUGUCAUUAACAAAUACAGGAAACUGAAAAGUUGGAGCAGGUUGUUUGGGCAAAGAGCUAAUUUUGGCCAUACUGAAUUUGCGAUGCUCACUCAGCUAGCAUGUGAAGCUGUGUAACAGCAGGUGGGCAUGUAUGUAUAGAGCUCAGGCUGAGGAGUGCCUUGAAGUGAUGGGCGAAGUCAUGAGUGCAUGUGAUAUUCAAAGCCGUGGAAGAAAUUGAUGUCCUCAAAAGAAAAUCUGAGAGCUGGAAAGGACUUUGGAGGUCGUGUUUUUUGACUCUGCAGACCCCUCAGGCAUUAAACCCUUCUACCAGACGUAUUCAAUAAGCAUUUAUUGGAUGCCUUUUAAACUCUACCGUGCAUUAGGCCUGAUGUAGGCAGUGGGUGUGAAAAGCUCCAUCCGAGGAGCCUACAUGCUGGUGAGGGAGGCAACCAUGUAAUCCAACCCACUGCUAUCAGUGCCAUGUUGAAAGUAUGGAACUGGUGCCGCAGUACCACAGGGGAAGGGGUUCAAGGAACCCAUCAUGGCGCAUACGAAACUCCAGGACUUGGUGUGUUUGGGGACUGACAUCUGCUGAGGCAGUGGGAGCAAUACGUGUCCAAGACAGUUUUACCCACAUGACCCAGAUGUCUGGGCCGGGUCAGAACUGGGGAUUCUAAUCAGGACCCAACAUGGACAGGGCUAGAGGAGGCCAUGAUCACGGCAGCCAAAGGCCCCAGAAGCUAAGGUGUCUCCACAAGUCAAGCGCAGGUCCCAGCUCCUUCCUACAGAAAGAUGCGGACUGUGGAGGUUCCCUCGGGGACAAGACCAACAAGGACAUAGACUGAGGAGUGUCUUCAUUGCACACGAGGUCACUGACACGCACCAGGACCUACAGCGGCCGUGGUCCACUGCAUUCAUUGACUGAUGAAUCCCAGCUCAGCCGCUGCUAAGGAAAUAAGAUGGAGGGAAAGAACCUGGGGGCUGGGUCUUUGCUUCUGUCCGUGCAGAAACGUCUGGGUUUCAGUGGAAUGAUACGGUUUCCAAGAAUGAUUAAGAACAAGCUGCAUAAAAAUUAUGACACGUAAUUUUCUGGACUAUGGACUAAAAUGAACUGCUCCACCGAGACGGUGCUCUGUCUUUGGGAAGAUGCUGCAAUAAAUAAAAGUGUGGAAAUCAAGUGGCUGGCACCCUGCCAAGACGCCCUGUACAGUGAGUGCACAUGUGCUGGACACGACACAAUGACCUAAAAGAAACACAGAGAUACUGCUGGAAUAGUUCAGUGAAUAUAGUUCAGUGAAUACCACUGCUUCAGCGAGGAGUAAGUCAUGUAAUAAGGCAGGAUGGAAACAGAAUUAACCUUUAAAACUUGGAAAUGGAGUACCGGAGAAUUAAAUUAACAGAAGUGCAUAGACAAGUUCUGGGAAAACCCACGGUGGAUGCCUUUGGUCAGGUCGAGAGCCAUGUGAGGACACAGCAAGAAGGCAGCCAUCUGCAGGCCAGGAAGAGAGCCCUCACCAGAAGCCAACCCUAAACCACUUUGAUCUUGGACCUCUAGAACUGGGGAGAAAAUACAUUUCUGGUGUUUAAGCCACACAGUCUGCGGGGUUUUGUUAUGGCGGCCCUAGCAGGCUAUUACAGAGACCUUCCCG
ensembl:lncRNA